CGCGGCCAGGAAGACGACGUCGUACUUGCCGAGCUCGUCGGUCAGGUUGGCGACGUCGACGGUGUGGAAGGUCAUCCGCUUGCGCAGGUCCUCGUCCGCGCGGACCAGCUUCCGCGCACGGUCGUUGGCAGCGCCGCUCCGAUCAUAGUUGUCGAACACCGUGUUGGGCAGGUGGCGUGCCGCGAGCACGAGCGAGCUGAACGGCAAGGGGCCAGACCCGACGAAGGCGACGCGGGAAGGCGCGAGGCCAGGGAUGUAGCGGACCAGGAGGUCGUACUCCAGCUUGCUCAGGUUGAUGUAGUUGCUGAAGUAGGGGAAGCGGCUGAGGUGGUCGAGUGGGUUGUCGAAGGCGUUGAGCAUGUCGGAGUAGUGCGCCUCGAGGUGGCCCUCGGCGUCGGAGCAGAGGCGGAUGAGCUCCUCUCUCAUCUUCUGCGCGUCCGGGGCAAGCUUGGUCACGUCGACGGGGCUCGGCGGGACGCAGGCCAUGACGAGCUCGGUGAACAGCCUGUCGACGUCGGGGGACGGGCUCAGCGAUGGCAACUUGGUGAUGGCGGCGUGGAGGCUGGUAAUCUUCUGGACGAGAGCAGCAACCUCCAUGUUCGCAUUGGCGUCGAUCUUGCGCGCGACGAUCACAGAGUUGAUCACCUCAUCGUCCGGGUGGUACACGGUCAGCACGUCGAACCCGCCGCGGCGGAUGUCCUCGGGAUCGACGAUGGGGUACAGGAAUCCACGAGCCCCGUGCGCGCUCCGCACGACGAGGGCCGCGCCAUCGGCCAUGUGCCUGCCGAGGUGCGCCACCACCUUGGCCUUGUCCUCGGCGGCCAUGCCGACGAGCGCGGCCAGGAAGACGACGUCGUACUUGCCGAGCUCGUCGGUCAGGUUGGCGACGUCGACCGUGUGGAAGGCCAUCCGCUUGCGCAGGUCCUCGUCCGCGCGGACCAGCUUCCGCGCACGGUCGUUGGCAGCGCCGCUCCGAUCAUAGUUGUCGAACACCGUGUUGGGCAGGUGGCGCGCCGCGAGCACGAGCGAGCUGAACGGCAAGGGGCCGGACCC
rnacentral:lncRNA from 1 species